AAGGAAGGUGUGGGUGAGCGAAAAGGGCGGAAAAAGAAAUAAUGAACCGAAGAAGGGUGUUGCUGCUCAAAAUUCUUCUCUUCCUCUUCGUUCUCAACUUAUUCUCUCUGUACUGGUACUUUCACUUCUCUUCUCACCCUAAAUCCCAAACACCCUUUGUACAGGAGACCCAGAAUCAAAUACUGGAGAAAGAGAAUCGGCAGAAGCAGCAACAACAACAACAACAACUCCCCGUCUCGGUCACCUUCCAUGGAAAACCAUGGCCCAUUCUCCCCUCUUACCUUCCAUGGGAUCUAAACCCUAACGUCACUCCUAAAUCAUGCGAAGGAUAUUUUGGCAACGGCUUCAAUCGCCGUAUCGAUCUUCUACUUUCCCCUUCUGAGAUUCAUCCAAAAUCUGACUCCAAUUAUGGUGGCAGUGGUUGGUUUCGGUGCUUUUAUAGUGAAACACUGGGGAGCUCCAUAUGCGAAGGGGGGAGACUGCGGAUGAACCCGGAUAGGAUACGAAUGUCUGUUGGAGGGGAGAAGCUGGAAUCUGUGAUGGGGCGACAGGAAGAGGAGGAACUCCCUUCCUUCGAUUCGGGUGCUUUCGAGAUCGAGUUUGACCAAGGGCUCAGUCAGGGCGGGAACUUGAGCAGGAACGGGAGGAAGCUCGUGAACAAGGAGUUCCUUGAUCAGUUUGUACCGCGGGGUGCCAUCCAUAUGCAUACAAUGCGGGCUUUAGUUGAUUCAAUUCAAUUGCUGGAUCCAGAUAAGUUUAAGUGCUCCCAGUGGGUUGAGGAGCCGACGCUUUUAGUCACACGUUUCGAGUAUGCAAACCUUUUUCACACGGUGACAGACUGGUACAGUGCAUAUGUGGCUUCCAGAGUUACUGGCUUGCCUAAUCGACCUCAUGUGGUUUUUUUGGAUGGCCACUGUAAGGCACCUCUGGAAGAAACUUGGGAAGCCCUUUUUUCAAGCCUGAAAUAUGCUAAAAGCUUCAGUGGUCCAAUUUGUUUCCGCCAUGCCAUUCUUUCACCAUUGGGUUAUGAGACAACUCUUUUUAAGGGUUUGACUGAAGAUAUUAACUGUCAGGGAGCAACUGCACAUGAUCUCUGGCAAAAUCCUAAUGACCAAAGGACUGCACGAUUAUCUGAGUUCGGAGAGUUGAUACGAGCAGCUUUUGGUUUUCCUGUCAACAGAAACCAGCAACCAAAACUGGUCUCAGGUCAUAACAUCUUAUUUGUGCGUCGUGAGGACUAUUUAGCUCACCCGCGUCAUGGUGGGAAAGUGGAAUCAAGGCUUAGCAAUGAACAGGAAGUCUUCGAUGCUCUGAAGAUUUGGGCGAUUAAUCAUUCAAAAUGCAAAGUGAACCUUAUCAAUGGACUAUUUGCUCACAUGUCCAUGAAAGAACAAGUCCGUGCCAUUCAGGAUGCUUCGGUCAUAAUUGGAGCACAUGGGGCAGGUCUCACUCACGUUAUUUCCGCAACACCAAAUACAGUAAUUCUUGAGAUAAUAAGCAGCCAGUACAGGCGUCCACAUUUCGCAUUGAUCUCACAGUGGAGGGGGCUGGAAUAUCAUGCCAUUAAUCUGGCUGGAUCAUAUGCAGAGCCAGAAGUUGUUACCAAGAAGGUUAAUGACAUAAUGAGAAGUCUUGGCUGCUAAUACAUGGUUUUGUGGUUUUGGAUCCAUCCCUCGUUAUUUUGUGCAAUUCAAAGAUCCGACGAGACCUGCAGUGGCUAUACAAGUUACAGACCUCAUACAAGAUGCAUUAAGGAGUUCACU